rnacentral:misc_RNA from 1 species
GAGGCGUCAGAUGGGUAUAAGGGACAGGUGAGUCAUCGAAUCUUUGAACGCACAUUGCGCCCUGUGGUAUUCCGCAGGGCAUGCCUGUUCGAGCGUCAUUUCAACCCUCAAGCUCUGCUUGGUGUUGGGCCCUGCCCGCUGCGGCCGGCCCCAAAGACAGUGGCGGUGCCGCCUGGCCCUGAGCGUAGUACAUCUCUCGCUCCAGUGCCCGGUGGUAGCCUGCCAGAACCCCAACUCUCGUGGUUGACCUCGGAUCAGGUAGGGAUACCCGCUGAACUUAAGCAUAUCAAUAAGCGGAGG